rnacentral:rRNA from 1 species
UUGGCGGACGGGUGAGUAACGCGUGGGGAACCUGCCCUGUACAGGGGGAGUAACACUUAGAAAUAGGUGCUAAUACCGCAUAAGCGCACAGUAUCGCAUGAUACAGUGUGAAAAACUCCGGUGGUACAGGAUGGACCCGCGUCUGAUUAGCUGGUUGGCGGGGUAACGGCCCACCAAGGCGACGAUCAGUAGCCGGCCUGAGAGGGUGAACGGCCACAUUGGGACUGAGACACGGCCCAAACUCCUACGGAAGGCAGCAG